GAAAUACAGGGAGUAAAGUCGUUUUGGAUAUUUUUUAAAAAAAUUAUUUGUUCCCUUCUCCAAUAAACAUGUAAUCGUUUUUUAAUAUUAUGUUCUUCCUCCCUUGGCCUUGCCAUACCCUAAGUCUACCAGUCUUCUCCCUUUUCAAUACUAUUAGCGUCACAAUCAUAACGUCCUAGCCUUAAGGUUUUUGACCGAUCAUUUUCUCUCUCUUCGUGAUUUCACUACGUUAAAGCCUUUCGCAGAUUAGUACCGUACUAGAAGUAAUUUCUCUCUAUAUAUAUGUCAGUCAAUAUUGAAUUCGUUGUUUUUGAACUCUUUUGGUAACUGGGUAAGCAUUAAUUUAUAGAUCUUUGAUAUAGAUUAUGUGUUUUUUCUCUUGAUAAUUUGGAUUUUGGCUUAUUUAGUACAAUUUUUGUUGUUCUCUUCUCGGUUAUAACUUGAUUUUCGGUUUUGUGCUACAGAUCUGAUUUGGAAUUGGGAUAUCAACUACUGAAAUGGCAUACCAUCGAUUGUAUAUGAUUACUUACAUAAUUUAUUUAUAUAUUUGGAUUUUUAUUAAAUUUGAGAUUUGUUAUUAUCCCAUCCAUAUGGAAUUAAUUGAACUUCAAACUCUAAAAUGGUGUAAAAUUUCGAAGUUGAGGUUAAAUUAAUGAGAAGUGAUCUUUUUUUAUGGGUGUUGAUUUAUUCACUUAAUGUAUAAUUUGGAUGGGAUUAUUCUAGGUAGAGGAAUAUAUUUUAGCUUUGAUAUAUAUAUAUAUAUAUAUAUAUAUAUAUAUAUAUAUAUAUAUAUAUAUUUGUCAAUUGUUAAUUUGAGAUUCACUGUCAUGUACUUGAGACAUUUUGGUCUUUAGAAUUCUCAUUGUAAUAAUGAUUCUAUUUCUGUUUGUUAUUGUUCUCUUAGAACUACAUGACAAUGGUUCCAACAUUGGAGCUUGGCUUAUUUUACAAAUUCUAAACCAAGAUGCACUUGGAAAGGCUGCCAUUGAAAGCAUGUUUCAGAAGGCAAGGAUCGGAAAGGUUGCCAUUGAAAACAUGUUUCAGAUUGUACUUAAAAUGAAUUCAAUUGCAUUCACCACAAUGAUAACAAAGAUAUAAAUUGACAUACUUGUUUAAGUUGAGAAUAUAAAGUUAUUAGUAGAGUCUUGAUGAAUUGCUUCUGUUUAGAGUUAUUGCCUUGAUGGAAUGAUUGAUGGAAUGAUGUUAUUAGAAAUUGUAUCAUAGUAUAAUUAAUAUUGUAAAUUUAUCAUUGUAAUUAUUGUAACACG
rnacentral:lncRNA from 1 species